GACGAACGCUGGCGGCGUGCUUAACACAUGCAAGUCGAACGGAAAGGCCCUGCUUUUGUGGGGUGCUCGAGUGGCGAACGGGUGAGUAACACGUGAGUAACCUGCCCUUGACUUUGGGAUAACUUCAGGAAACUGGGGCUAAUACCGGAUAGGAGCUCCUGCUGCAUGGUGGGGGUUGGAAAGUUUCGGCGGUUGGGGAUGGACUCGCGGCCUAUCAGCUUGUUGGUGGGGUAGUGGCUUACCAAGGCUUUGACGGGUAGCCGGCCUGAGAGGGUGACCGGCCACAUUGGGAACGAGAUACGGCCCAGACUCCUACGGGAGGCAGCAGGGGGGAAUAUUGCACAAUGGGCGGAAGCCUGAUGCAGCAACGCCGGGGGGGGGAUGACGGCCUUUGGGGUGGAAACCGCUUUCGCCUGUGACGAAGCGGGAGUGACGGGAAUGGGUAAAGAAGGAACGGCUAACUACGGG
rnacentral:rRNA from 1 species